UUAUUAUUGUUGAGUUGUAUGAGCUACUUGUAAAUUUUGGAAAUUAAGCCCUUGUUAGUAACAUCAUUUAGCAAUAUUUUCUCCCAGUCCUUAGGUUGUUUUUUUGUUUUAUGGUUUCCUUUUGCUGUGUAACAGCUUAUAUGUUUGAUUAGGUCCUAUUUGUUUAUUUUUGCUUUUAUCUCUAUUGCCUUGGGAAACUAACGUAAGAAAAUAUUGGUAUGGUUUUUGUCAAGAGAAUGUUUUGCCUAUGUUCUCUUCUGCGACUCUUAUAUUUAAUUAAGUCUUUAAGUCAUUUGGGGUUUAUUUUUGUAUAUGGGGUGAGGGUCUGUCCUAACUUCAUUGAUUUACAUGUGACUCUCCAGCUUAGUCCACACCAUCAAGCGGUCUUAAGUUGUAAGAGAAAAGCCAUCUCCAGCUGAUGUCCCAGGAAUUAGACAUUUUAAAAAUGUCCGAGACUGGUAAUAAAGAAGCUUGCAGAGUUUUAGCCAAACAGCAUGUACAUCUAAGGAAACAGAAAGCAAGCACUUCGGCUCUGAGUUCACAAAUCACUCCCAUGUCCACACAAAAGGGAUGAAUUCCCAGAUGACCAUAGCAGGAACAGCGCCUACUACAAGAGUAAGUGGGAAUCUUUAUAUCCAUCACUUUAUGACUUUUUCUGGGAUGCUCACUUUUAACUUUCUGUAUUGGAGAAUAGCUGGUUAACAAUGUUGCGAUAGUUUCAGAUGGACAGCAGAGGGACUCAGCCAUACAUGCGUAUGUGUCCAUUCUCGCCAGACUCCCUCCCAUCCCGGCUGCCACAUAACAUGGAGCAGAGUUCCCUGUGCUAUGCAGUAGUGGGUUUAUUCAGUAUCACUUUGGAAGUCCUAGCCACAGUGAUCAGAGAGGAAAAAGAAAGAAAAGGAAUACAAACUGAAAAAGAAGGUAAAAAUAUCACUGCUUUCUGUGUAUAGUAUGUCAUCUGCAAAUCCUAAAGAGGCCACCAGAAAACUACGGGUGCUAAUCAGUGAAUUUGUUUAAAGUUGCAGGAUACAAAAUUAAUGCACAGAAAUCUCUUGCAUUCCUAUACACUAACUAAAUUCCUAUAACUAACUAAAAGAUUGGAAAGAGAAACUAAGAAACCCAUUUACCAUCACAACAAAAAGAAUAAAAUACCUAGGAAUAAACCUACCUAAGGAGGCAAAAGACUUGUACUCAGAAAACUAUAAAACACUGAUGAAAGAAAUCAAAGAUGACACAAACGGAUAAAGAGAUCUACCGUGUUCUUGGACUGAAAGACUCUAUACUGUGAAAAUGACUAUACUACCCAAAGCAAUCCACAGAUUCAGUGCAAUCCCUAUCAAACUACCAAGGACAUUUUCACAGCGUUGGAACAAAACAUUCCACACUCUAUAUGGAAACACAAAAGACUCGGAUUUCACAAAUUAUUAGAGAAAUGAGAACUACAAUGAGGUCUCAGCGGGAGAGGGGGAUGGAAUGAAUUGGGAGAUUGGAAUUGACAUAUGUAACAUGGUAUAUAAAUAGAUAACUACUGAGAACCUGCUCUGUAGCACAGGGAACUCUGCUCAGAGCUCUGCGGUGACCGAAAUGAGAAGAAAGUGCAAAAGAAAUGGAUGUAAGUCUGACUGAUUCACUCUGUCACGCAGCAGGAGCAAACGCAACAUCGUCAAGCAACCAUACUCCAAUAAAGGCUGAAGAAAGCAAGGAGCUGGAUGAUGGUUCCCCAUCGCGACAAACAACUGCCCCUAUUCUGGAGAGGCACUUGGUUUCAGAAAGCGAGACCCCCGAGACGGCAGAUACCUGGGCAGCGUCCCAGGCCUGGUACCGCAGGGUCCCUGUGAUGAUGUAGUCGCUCAGGUAGAAGAUGAAGAGGCUGAUGAUAAGCAGCGGGCUCACGCCGCCCCACAUGACCUUCCAGUACCAGUUCAGGGCGCGUCCAGUCAUGGCCUUGAGCUCGCUUUCAAAUCUGAUUGGAGAGUGGGGAGAGAAAGUCUGGAUUACCCGUGCUCUUGGAGGCAGGCGGUCCAGGCCACAGAGCCGUCUGUGCGUAGGAAGCUUCUGUGCUGGGCACCAGUGGUGCUUGGACACGACCACGGGGCCCUCUUCCCUGGGGGAGGUCAAGGGCACAGGCUGCCACCAGCGGGGCAAAGGGACCGCCCACAGGUGAGUGGACAUCAGGACGCACCCCUGGGCCUGGCCUCCAGGUGGAGGCCACUAAUGCAGACAGGAGGGCAGCGCCCAGCGCCGGGGGCACAGAGGGCCUGGGGAGACGCCCGCGAAGCCGGCCUCAGCCCCGGGGACCCCGAGGGCAGCCCUGCCGCCUGUCAGCAGCUGUAGUGCCUGCAGCCCACCACUGUGAUCUCCAUCCUGUCUGCGAGCGCGCUCUUUGUCUCUUAUAACUUGACUCUUUUACCUGAGUUUAUAAAUAGCAUGAUAGUAUCUGUCUUACUGUAGACUGGAGAGACUUCUCCAGGAUUCUGGAAACUACACUGAGAAAGUGCUGGGAGUCGUGGCCUUCGUGGGUGCAUUUCCCGGCCGUUGUCAGGCGGCGCCUCCUACCUGCUCAGCCCGUACAGGUAGCACAUGGCGACCGUCUCCACCAGGACGAUGAGCAGCAGGGACAGCGUGGCAGCGUAGUCGUUGAAGAUGUCGAACCAGUAGCUGCCGGCCUCCAUGGUGAACACCAUGCCGAUGGCGCAGUUGGCGAGGCACACCAGACCUGGGACCACAAGACCCCUGCUCACCCACCUAGACAGCACCUAUUCACCCAGCUUCCGUGGGGCCAAGGUGGUGGGAGGCGUGUCAGCAGGACUUCCCGACACUCGUUCACGGAGGGGUCUAGCAGCGGACACCCGACUCAGUGUAAAAGACAGAAGAGAGACAGAUGAUUGCCACUUGCCACUGGAGUGUAUGGGUGUGAGAGCUGGACUACAAGGAAAGCUGAGCACCAAAGAAUUGAUGCUUUUGAACUGUGGUGUUGGAGAAGACUCUUGAGAGUCCCUUGGACUGCAAGGAGAUCCA